rnacentral:rRNA from 1 species
GAUUAUGGCUCAGGAUGAACGCUGGCGGCAGGCUUAAUACAUGCAAGUCGAACGGUAAGGCCGAGUGCAGCAAUGCACGAGGUACACGAGUGGCGCACGGGGUGCGUAACGCGUAUGCAACCUGCCCCCAACCGGGACAAAACAGCUGGAAACGGCUGCUAAUAUCCCAUAGCCACGCGGGAGGGCAUCCUCCUGGGUGUAAAGAUUCAUUGGUUGGGGAUGGGCAUGCGUAUUAUUAGGUAGUUGGCGGGGUAACGGCCCACCAAGCCGACGAUGGUUAGGGGUCCUGAGAGGGUUAACCCCCCACACUGGAACUGAGACACGGUCCAGACUCCUACGGGAGGCAGCAGUAGGGAAUAUUGGGCAAUGGGAGCAAUCCUGACCCAGCCAUGCCGCGUAGAAGGAAGACGGCCCUAUGGGUUGUAAACUUCUUUUGCCGCAGAGUAAACCCGGUCACGUGUGGCCGGUUGAGAGUAUGCGGCGAAUAAGUAUCGGCUAACUCCGUGCCAGCAGCUGC